AGAUGUGUCGGGUCACCCCAUUAUUAUUAACUGUGCAAUAUAUACUUUUAUUUCGACUUUGUCAUCAUUUCUACACUUCUAUCAACUUCAUUUCAUUAAUUAUUAGCUGGUUACAAGGUUGAAGGUAUAGGGGUUCACAGCACAAACGCCACGGACGAUUAAUAACCGUUAAUUCCAGUUGAUCCAAAAUGGACGGCACAAACGACUGACGAUCAACUUGCUGAAUUUUUAUGCAGAUUUUAUAACAAUUAAAUUAUUGUAACAAAAGCAGACGUAUGUA